rnacentral:rRNA from 1 species
AGUGAACGCUGGCGGCGUGCCUAAUACAUGCAAGUCGAACGGAUUGGCGCACGGGUGAGUAAUGUAUAGCUAAUCUGCCCUACACUAGAGGAUAACAGGUGGAAACGACUGCUAAUACUCUAUAGUGUAGGAUGAGGCUAUAUUGUAUCAGCUAGUUGGUGAGGUAAUGGUUCACCAAGGGUAUGACGCAUAACUGGUCUGAGAGGAAGAUCAGUGACACUGGAACUGGGACACAGUCCGGACUCCUACGGGAGGCAGCAGUAGGGAAUAUUGCUCCAUGGGGGAAACCCUGAAGCAGCUACGCCGCGAGGAGGAUGACACUUUUCAGAGCGUAAACUCCUUUUGUUAGGGAAGCGGUACCUAACGAAUAAGCACCGGCUAACUCCGUGCCAGCAGCCGCGGUAAUAC